CCCAGCCAGAGCGGGCACACCCAAGAGGCUGAGGGAGUGCCUCCUGCCACGCCACCCUUCCAGCCCUGGCCGAGGUGCAAGGAGGCCCUCCUCGGGAGACUGACUCCGUGGAGCCCGGCAGCACACCAGGCUUGGUGCAGGAGGCUUCACACACCUCAUCUCAUCUGGUCCUCACUGUGGCAGUGUAAGGGUGGUCUUAAUGCCCCCAUUUGGCAGAUGCAGAAACUGAGGUGCCAGUGACGAUAGACCCCGAGUGAAACAACAGCAGCAGAAGCAAAAGAAGGAAGAUCACGCUUCCUGAUGCUUGCUACCAUUGAGGCACCUCCCCACAGAGCACAGGCCUUUGAAGAAAGCUGUCCUUGUCACCUCAGAGUUCUUGGAUCUCAUGCCUAAAAGGCCUGGCCCCCAUGGAAGUGGUAGGCCAGGUGUUAGGGGACUGGCAGCCUGUUCCCUGUUUCUGCCCCAGCCAAUUGGAGGCAGGCUGCUGGAAGUCCCACAGGCUCAGGACUGAGCAAGGAGGGAGGAGAGAGGAGCUCUGGGAGGAGAGAGGAGCUGGGGCAGGGGUGGGGGGGAACUUUCUUUGGUCUUUUUUCUCCCCCUUCUCCAAGAACCAGAGCUCAUGGGCCCUGAGGCCCACCCAGACAGAGGGGAGAGGAAGUGCACAGAGUUGGGGAGCAUGCAGAUGGGACGGGCUCCCCCCACCCCAGGACCUCAGUGCCCUCCCAGGAUCAGCUGUCGGAAGCGGCAGCCCUAAAGGACAUCGCCUCCAAUUCCCACUUCUCAGCCAGAGUUGACUCCGGGAAAUGUUUUGACCAGGAAUCCAGAAUCCAGCAGCAAGCCGAUGUCCUGCUUGCUGCUUUGUACAGUGCAGUGGGAGCUGGAAGUUGUCAAAUAGCCGCCCCCCCCCUGGGGAAGCUCACUGCAGAGCAGUCAGAUCUGGGUUCCAGGCCGCCUCCCAGAUGGUGUACUUCACCUCUCCCGCUUCUGCUUCUUCAACCAUAAAUGUGAGGUAAUAAUGCCUGCUCCACCCACCUACCUCACCGGGCUGCUGUGAGAAUCAAAUGAGAUUAUAGACCUGAAAGCCCUUUGAAAAAUAUAAAGCAAUCGCCCAACCUGGUUUUGCUAUUAUUAUUAUUAUUAUUAUUAUUAUUAUUAUUAUUGUUGUUGCUGUUGUGAUUUUGUGUAGGUGCAACUGGGAGAGCAAAUUAGAGUAACCUGUACGUCUAAGAGAGUGAGCCUGCUUUUGUACAUGAGAGUGUAUGUACCAGUUUUACAAAAGGAGUUCUUGUGUUUGCACCUGCCUUGAAAGGAGUGUCUGGGGCAAUGUAUGGGUGUCUAUGAGUAAAUGGGGACAUGGGCACACAUCCCAGUGUCUUAAUAUAAUAUCACACUAACACAUAAUAAUAUGCUACCUUGAUAUAGGGUGUGCGUCAGCAUAGGUGUGCGG
rnacentral:lncRNA from 12 species